UAAUACUUGGUGAUUUUAUUCUAAUGUAACUACUCAAAUGUUCAUUGAGUUGAAUUGUCCAGACUACUAAACCCUUCUAAAGUUCUUCUUGCUUGUGAAAAAUUGUAUGAAGAUUCCAAUUGAAGGAAUAUGAACUUAUGACUUGAUCUUGGAUAAUGAAUAUCACCUUGAUCAAUUAUCAACAUUCAUAUGUUAUUUUAAUUUCUAGGAAUCCGAUCCUUUUUUCAAGGUUUGAUGGUUUUGAGUUUUAUUUUGAAUUUGGGCAUGAUUUUGGGUAGGAGCUAGUGUAAUUCACGCAUGUGACUUGCCGGAAAUUUGUGUCUACCGGUUCAAUUUUAUACAAGUGUUGUUGAAACUGUAGAACAAUUCUCUGGCCUUUUAUCUACUUUCUAUUGAAGUAAGAUGGAUGAUCUUAUGCCUCUUAAUCCCUGUCUGAAGCGCCAGAAGAAUCUUUCCAAGUAUGAUAUUGACAACUUGCCUGAUGAGUUGCUUAUUGCCAUACUUUCCUGUUUGAACUUCCAUGAGGCAGCAAGGACCUGUAUUCUCUCACGGCGUUGGAGAUACUUAUGGAAGCAUACAACUUGCAGUAUUGAAUUUUAUAACGACCACACCUUUGAAAUUGAGGUAGCAGAAAAGUUUAUAAAUUCGGUGAAUGAAGCCCUGACAUUUCAUGAGGGUGCAUUUAUUGAGCGGUUCAAAGUUGGUUUUGUUUAUCCAACUGUGUUUCCCCCCGACAGCAAUAUUGAUUUUAUAGUAGGAAGCAAGGCGGAGUCGAAUGUGAUAUUGAUUGCUGGAUUGGUUUUGCAAUAGAAAAGCAGUUCAAAGUGUUUGAACUAAACCUGGCGGCAGGUUAUGUAUGCCGUGGAGUUGAUAUGACUUGCAGCAUUCCUCAUGUGCCAAUGUUGUUGUCCAUUUGUGGCGAGGUUAAUUUGCUGAGAGCAUUGACUACUCUCAAAUCUUUCCGAUUUGUUAAUGUCCUCAUAACACAGGAAGUUGUUGAAUUUCUUUUGUCCAACUGCCCUUUACUGGAGGAAGUGUGUAUUUCAGCGUCAAUUGCUCUUGAUAGUUUGAAAGUUGCUUGUUCAUCAUCUAAGUUAAGGUCCAUGGAAAUAUCAAAUUGUGUUGCUUUGGAGACUAUGGAGGUUCAUGCUUCAGGGCUUGUGUCUUUUACAUACAUUGGACGUACUAUCGAAGUGCCUUUCAAGAAAGUUCCCCUCUUAUCUGAACUAACUAUUGGAGGAUAUUAUGCUGAUUCAUUUAUUUUUGAUGCUCACAAGCACUCUAGCUAUUGUCGAAAUCUCUAGAAGCUUAAACUGGAAGUGUCAUUUGAGGUAGUAGCAUACAUCUACCUUCUCUCUUCUUUUCCUCACUUGUAGUCUGCUUUCAUAUUGAAAUUAAGUUGUUAACAUGCAUUGUUUCAAAUCUUUUUAGUUAACUAGGAAAUGCUGGGUGAUUCCCGAUGUGUAUCCUCAACUCUGCCAUCUGAAAGAGUUGGAAUUGGACAUCUCCACAGAAGAGGGUGAUGGCCUUUGCUUCGUCACAUUCUUGACUAAGUGUUCUCCUGAGUUGUCAAAUUUAACCAUCAAGGUGUGAAUUUUCCGAUCUCUUAAGAAGAUGAUCAUUGACACAGAGGGAGAUCUUCUGCUUCAUUACUGAUCAACAAGAAGGCAAUCAUUGAGUGUGCUGAGCACCUGAAAGCAAAUUUACCUCCCGGAGCUGAAUUGUCGACAUGUGUUCCUGGUUUUACAAAGAAGCUGGAUGUCCCCAAAUGGUUUUAAACGUGCACAUUUAUCAUGACUUGCUUAUUUUGCUACUUAAAAUUUUCAGUAUUUUAUUGGCAAAUUUGGUGGAUA